rnacentral:rRNA from 1 species
UACAGAGGUCUCAAGCGUUGUUCGGAUUCAUUGGGCGUAAAGGGUGCGUAGGCGGCGCGGUAAGUCGGGUGUGAAAUCUUGGAGCUUAACUCCGAAACUGCAUUCGAUACUGCCGUGCUUGAGGACUGGAGAGGAGACUGGAAUUUACGGUGUAGCGGUGAAAUGCGUAGAUAUCGUUAAGGAAGACCAGUGGCGAAGGCGGGUCUCUGGACAGUUCCUGACGCUGAGGCACGAAGGCCAGGGGAGCAAACGGG